UACGAAGGGGGCUAGCGUUGCUCGGAAUCACUGGGCGUAAAGGGUGCGUAGGCGGGUCUUUUAAGUCAGGGGUGAAAUCCUGGAGCUCAACUCCAGAACUGCCUUUGAUACUGAAGAUCUUGAGUUCGGGAGAGGUGAGUGGAACUGCGAGUGUAGAGGUGAAAUUCGUAGAUAUUAGGAAGAACACCGGUGGCGAAGGCGGCCCACUGGCUCGAUACUGACGCUGCGGUGCGAAAGCGUGGGGAGCAAACAGGGAUUAAGAAACCCUGGGUAG
rnacentral:rRNA from 1 species